UGAAAGCACCGGUUCCCGUUCGAUUACCGAAGUUAAGCAGCGUUGAACACAAUGAGUACUAAGAUGAGGUAACGACUUGGGAACACCUUGUAUUGUA